rnacentral:lncRNA from 1 species
AUAACAGAAGCAGUGCAGGUGACUUCAGUGUUAGAUCAUUAAAGGGAGAUAUCCUGUGUUCCUCUCUCUGUUUCUGCCUGUCUCUAUUUCUCUUCUUCUUCUUUCUUUUUUACCCUCUCAUUCACUUUUUUUUUUUUUUUUUUUGAAAUGUAGGAACUCUGUUAAGGGAACCAAACUUGCCCCUUUGAAGAAUCCACCAGCUAACAGGAUCAUCGGCCUCUAAAAUGUGAACGAAUGAGACUUCAUAUCAUUCAAUGAGCUUCCAGAUCUUCCAAGAGUGCCCCAUACACUGCACAGCAGAGACAAGCUGUCUUUGCUGGGGUCUGUCUGAAAUCUUGCCCACAGAAUCCAUGGACAUAAUCAGUGAUUGUUUUAUGGUAGCACAUUUUGAGAUAAUUUAUAAUAUGGUCACAGUAAUUUAAACAGAAGGGUAAACUCUGGGCCAUCAAUCUAACUUAAAGAGCUUUGUCUUAGUUUCUUUCCUGUUGCUGUGAUAAAAUAUCCUAACCAAAGAAACUUAAGGGAGUAAGGGUUUAAUUGGCUCACAGUUUCAGUUUACAGCCCAGCAUUGUGGGAAAGUCGAGGCAGCUGGAACUUGAAGGUCACAUUGCACUCACAGUUGGGCUGAAAGCAACGAGUGAAUGAGUGCUUGUGAGCCAUGCUUAGCAUUCACUUUCCAUUUUAUACCCUUCAUUUCACUUAGUGUAGUUAAGGCAAUUUCUCACAGGCAUUUUUUAGAAGUUAACUUUAGCCCCCUAGACAACCCCUCACAAGUGUGUCUCAAGGCUUGCCAGUUGACAACACUAAACAUCAUAGGCCCUCUCCACUGUGACAACAGAAUACCUUUCUAUUCUCUAACUAUUCCCUGAGGACUCAUUAUUGAAGCUCUAGGUAUCCUCAAUUUUGGUGCCCUAAGAAAAACUAUGCUCUUAUGCCUGUAGUCUCCCCUCCCCCAGCCUGAAACCUGCUUGCUCAGGGGUGGAGCUUCCCGCUCAAUCUUUCUGCCGGGCCUACUGCUGGAAUCUGCCGCUUUGCUGUUCGAAGCCAUCA